AGAUGUGAGGUGGAUCUGGCUGCCACAUGGGUCACCCCAUUGAUUGCCAGGUUGACCUGGUUGAUCCAGCUGGCUAGGCCAGUGUCCCCUGCCUCCUUCAUGGCUCUGUGUUGCAAGCUCAUGGAGGAUGAGGAUGAUGUGUUCAUUAAAAGACUGUUCUUCUGGUUAGGGUAAAUGAUUAGUUACUAAAAUGUAUGAAUAAAACAAAUACACAAAAGGUCAAUUGAAUUGCAUAAAUAUUUCUCAUGCAACAUGGCUAAAAAUGUCCUCUCUUCCUAAAUGGACUUUAUGU
rfam:Gorilla gorilla gorilla genomic chromosome, chr21, whole genome shotgun sequence